CCUCACUAGGUCGUCUCAAGUCAGUGGUGGCCUCAUCAAUUCUCAGGGGCAUUCCUAUUGCCCCAGAUAAUGCGAAAAGGAACCCUUUCGCACGUAAAUGUACUGGAAGCAGAGGGAACGAUACCCAUACGGGAACUAUCGGAGUCUCUUGCUUAGGUGUAAAGUCACAUGUCCACUUAAGGACUCUCAUCGGACAACCAUCAAUAUACCAUGAAGGUUUAAGAAAAAGCCUGCUGUAAUCCUCCUCAUGUGUAAGGUGUAUAAGAAUGUGUGUUGUGUCAAU
rnacentral:lncRNA from 1 species